rnacentral:lncRNA from 1 species
CCCUCCAAAACCCCUGCAAUGAUACCUCUUUAUCCUGCAGCCUUUAUCGCGUAAACACAGUUGAUCAAUAAGAGCAAAACCCGAGAAAGAAGAGCCUGCCUGCUCUACCGCAGAAGGAGACGUUGCUUGAAAUCAGGGGGGAACUUGAAUCUUGAGUCCUUUGCUUUGAGCUGUAGAAUGUCAGCUGCAUUCCCUGUCCCCGUGGAGUUUGGGUCUCUUCUACCGCUAAGGUGACUUUAAUCUUAGCCACGCCCUCCUGGGGUUUGUCUGGAGGCUGCAGUGAAGUUGCGAAUGCUGAGUUCCCAGUACUCAUCGGACCUUUUGAAUACGUGUUUGUUUGUUGGUUGAAAGUACAAGAGGAACCGUGUUGGAGUGGUGGUUGAUGUCUUGGUAGGGGUUCAACCAAAUGGCAUGAGGGGUUUGAUCACUCAGUCAGUAUUUGGAGGUCAGGUUUGGUGUCUGUUCUCAAGGGUCACGUAGUGGAGACCCCAGGGUGGUAACUGACAAGCAGGAAGUGCGUUGUCUAGCUGGAGGCCUGGCAUCCCUUGGAGAUGGGUCAGAUGAUUGGAGCUGAGCCAUUCGGCAAGAUGCUGUUGUAUCGCAGACCUUGUGUUGGGUGGGAUUGAGGAUGGUUUGGUGGAGGUUGACAGGGUUGGCCUUCCAGGUGAGUGCAGAGGUUGGUACAAGUCAAAGGGAGAGGCAGGAACUUACAGGAAGUUUAGCAUCCUUGGUUGAAUCCAGAGAAUGGUUAUCCUGUGACCAUCAAAGUCUCCUUCCACAUUUCUCCCUCCAGGGAGUGGUACCACCCAUUUGAGAACUAGGGCACCGGAGUUCCCGUCAUGGCUCAGUGGUUAGUGAAUCCAACUAGGAACCAUGGGGCUGCAGGUUCGAUCUCUGACCUCGCUCAGUGGGUUAAGGAUCCGGCGUUGCCAUGAGCUGUGGUGUAGAUCGCAGAUGUGGCUUGGAUCUGGCGUUGCUGUGGCUGUAGUGUAGGCCAGCGGCUACACCUCCCAUUUGACCCCUAGCCUGGGAACCUCCAUAUGCCACAGGUGGGGCCCUAGAAAAGACAAAAACACAAAAG